GAUGAACGCUGGCGGCGUGCCUAAUACAUGCAAGUCGAGCGAACAGACGAGGAGCUUGCUCCUCUGACGUUAGCGGCGGACGGGUGAGUAACACGUGGAUAACCUACCUAUAGGACUGGGAUAACUUCGGGAAACCGGAGCUAAUACCGGAUAAUAUAUUGAACCGCAUGGUUCAAUAGUGAAAGACGGUUUUGCUGUCACUUAUAGAUGGAUCCGCGCCGCAUUAGCUAGUUGGUAAGGUAACGGCUUACCAAGGCAACGAUGCGUAGCCGACCUGAGAGGGUGAUCGGCCACACUGGAACUGAGACACGGUCCAGACUCCUACGGGAGGCAACAGUAGGGAAUCUUCCGCAAUGGGCGAAAGCCUGACGGAGCAACGCCGCGUGAGUGAUGAAGGUCUUCGGAUCGUAAAACUCUGUUAUUAGGGAAGAACAAAUGUGUAAGUAACUAUGCACGUCUUGACGGUACCUAAUCAGAAAGCCACGGCUAACUACGUG
rnacentral:rRNA from 1 species